rnacentral:rRNA from 1 species
GGCGCAGGGCAUUGGGUUAACUAACACCGAUCGCUACGGGUGCGUAACGCGCUAUGCAACCCUACCAUAUCACAGGGGGAUAGCCUUUGGAAACAGGGAUUAAUACCGCAUAAAGCAGGGGCUUGGCAUCAAGAUACUGCUAAAGAUUUAUCGGUGAUAGAUGGGCAUGCGUCUGAUUAGUUAGAUGGUGAGGUAAUGGCUCACCAUGACGAUGAUCAGUAGGGGGCGUCAGAGCGUGGUCCCCCACACUGGGACUGAGAUACGGGCCAGACUCCUACGGGAGGCAGCAGUAGGGAAUAUUGGGCAAUGGAUGCAAGUCUGACCCAGCCAUGCCGCGUGGAGGAAGAAGGUCCUCUGGAUUGUAAACUCCUUUUGUCGGGGAAGAAGAGUUCUCUUGCGAGGGAAUGUGACGGUACCCGAUGAAUAAGCCACGGCUAACUACGUGCCAGCAGCCGCGGUAAUACGUAGGUGGCAAGCGUUGUCCGGAUUUAUUGGGUUUAAAGGGUGCGUAGGUGGUUUAUUAAGUCAGUGGUGAAAGCUGGUUGCUCAACAAUCAAAUUGCCAUUGAUACUGAUAGACUUGAGAGAAGUGGAGGUUCAUGGAAUGGAUGGUGUAGCGGUGAAAUGCAUAGAUAUCAUCCAGAACGUCGAUUGCGAA